rnacentral:snRNA from 1 species
GUGUUUUGCUUUGGGAGCUCAUGUACUAAAAUUGGAACAACACCGAGAAGAUUAGCAUGGUCCCUGUAAAGGGAUGACGUACAUUCAUUAACCAUUCCAUAUUUUU